UACGAAGGGGGCUAGCGUUGUUCGGAUUUACUGGGCGUAAAGCGCGUGUAGGCGGGUCGUUAAGUUGGAGGUGAAAUCCCGAGGCUCAACCUCGGAACUGCCUUCAAAACUGGCGACCUGGACUCAAGGAGAGGCAAGUGGAAUUGCGAGUGUAGAGGUGAAAUUCGUAGAUAUUCGCAGGAACACCAGUGGCGAAGGCGACUUGCUGGACUUGUAGUGACGCUGAGACGCGAAAGCGUGGGGAGCAAACAGG
rnacentral:rRNA from 1 species